CUUUCGUUUCUAAAGGCACGAGGCAUUCGGCAUUCUCGUAUCUAACGCAGCAAGCCGGGGAACGUAGGCGCAUGCGAAGAGGAAAGUCAAACGGGCGGGGAAUCGUACGAUCCAGGAAGCAGUCAUUUAGUAUUUUUUAGUCGUAGUGCGAGGACUCCACGCGCUCCGUUCUCGCGGUAUUAAAGACGAUUUAAACUUCACUAAACUCUAUCGACACUUGAUAAUUGUGCACAAGUGUAGUAAAACUAGCACUAAACACUAUGGCACUGGUAUACAAAAAGUCUAUGAAAGCAAUUGGAAAACUGGUACCAGAAAAAAUGCAACCUCUGUGGAAUCAUCCAGCUGGACCGCAGACGAUAUUUUUCUGGGCGCCAGCAUUCAAAUGGGGUCUCGUCCUAGCUGGGCUUGGCGACCUCCAGAGACCAGCUAGUCAGAUUUCCCUCAGUCAAUCAGCUGCCCUGGGACUUACUGGAGUUAUCUGGACAAGAUACUCAUUGGCGAUUACACCAAAAAACUGGAGUCUCUUCAGUGUCAAUCUGUUUGUUGCCUUCACAGCGUUAUACCAAGUUUCACGAGCAGUCAAUUUCUACACAUGUCCCAUGCCGUACUUGGCAGAGUACUAUUGACACUGAUGACGUCAGUAACCCUAGCAUAUACCUAAGAGUCGCAGUAGACUAUAAAUAGCACUAUUUACCAUAUCAGCAGGAACAGGCAGCGAAGUAAGCUGCACUAAGCGCCGCACAGUAACUGAAGUUGCAUAAAGCCAUUCCUGGAGGGGAAACUUCCGUCAUGGUGUCUUCUCGUAGGUCUUGAAACUUAAAAUAUUUAUAUAAAAUUCACGUACGCGGUAUUGAUCGAUACUACUGCCGGUUGUCAUCCAAUGAUACGAAAAAAUUUACAUCGAUAAGGAUUAAUCAAGAGAUUAAAAGAUUGACAUUGAAGAUUAAUGCGUGCAGGAGCUUAUACUUUUACGAAAAAGAGGUUGUUGAAUUAUUUAUGUCUUACGUACCUUAUGGUUUAGAAAAUAAAUUUCUCGUAAAAGAUAAAGAAAUCGUGCAACUAUUAGUCGCAAUUUGAAAGAAAUGUAAGUUGUUUGUGGCUGGACCACAAGAGCAAACAGAAACGCCAAACAUAAUGGUGGCACAUAUUUUUUAUCGAUAGUGGUAUAUCUGUAAAAUAUUGUAAUUUUUAGGGAAAAUUAAUGAGAAAUCUCUACCUUCGUGCUAUAACGUACAGCCAGACAUUCUACAUAUACGCAACAUACUCUAUCGAAAUGAUUAGAGGAAACAAUUGUACAAAUUGUACCUACUGUCGUUCUAAUGUAAUUCCCUGAUAUCGAUUUAUUUAAAUAAAGCCUGAAUAUUUUUAAUAAAA